CCACAUGACCUGAUUUUAAUCAGAAGCGUUGGAUUCUCGAAUCGAGAUUCUUGCCGUCCGAUUUUCCCCAAUAAAAGUAUCAUAACUUUUUUCAGACUUCCAUUUUCUAGGGGUUGUUUAUCCGGCCAUCUGCUCUUCUUUGAUCCAUCAUCUAGGCCACCCAGACCAGCUAAAAUGAAAGGGCAAAGGAAUAUGAGGUAUGAACAGACAUUGAAUUCAUCACUUGGCCUUACUGCUCUUAUUAUGCCUUCUUGAAAAGAACUUCUUCUUCUGUAACAUGAUGCAGGUUAUUGUAAGAGGAAAUUAACUUAGGACCCAGCGUCCUUGAAGCAUGAACUCUUGAGGAUGGUUGCACGAUUUCAUCUGGUCGUCGUCUUCCUGUUAAUAUAAGGACCAGUUUUGCUCUUUUCUUCAAUGAACGUUUUGUUCAAUUUUACAACUUUUUAUAUUGCUUUUCUUUUAAUUGGUUUCUUACUUUAUUUCUUAUGUUAUCUUUGUAGGGUGUUCUUGGUAUCUCGGUGAAGAUCAUAUAUACUUGAUUAUUGGGAUGAUGGGAUCCCAAGAGUAAGCAAGUACCUACUACAUUGCUACCAGAUUAUAUCAUCGUCCACCUGCUCAAGGGGGAAGAAGAUUGCCCCAUGUGACUCACAUAGGGGUUAGCAGCAGCUUAAGUUGUAGGUUUUUUUAGGUUAGCGAGGACAAAGGAAACAUAGAUGCAGGAUGGUGGUAUUUUCCUCUAGAAUCCGAAAGGGUGUUGAGGCCGGCCCCUCAAGUUAUAGUGGCAUUGCUCGAUGAAUAGAUGUAAAGAGUGUACUGUCGGUCUUUUGUUCAAUAAUUAAAGUUCUUUGAUUGAAAUGUUUACUUGAAGAAUUUGGAGUUUCA